rnacentral:lncRNA from 1 species
GGCCCCAGCUCCUCUGUUCUGCCCAGUGGCCUGGCGCAGGAAAGGUGACCCAGUAGUUCAGCCUGUCCCAGCUGCCUGCCCCAGCACCAUCCCAGACCCCUUUCCCUGGGGCCCACCUUGGCCCUGAGGAAGGCCAGAGCUCGGCUGCUGUUCUCCAGGAAGUGCACACGCAGGCGGCCCCGGCUCGGGGGUGGCAGGGCCUCCCCUGAGAUGAGCUCCAGCAGCCGCAGGAGGUGGAUGCCGUCAGCCAGCUCUGUGUACAGGUUCCGGAUCUUGAUGCCCGCCUGGGGAGGGGACAGGGAUUCUUCUUCUCAGAGCCCCUGCUGCCAGGUCCCUCCACCACAGUGACUGGGACAGGUGGAAGGAAGACAGGAAACUGCUUACCUUGGUGAUGCCUGGGUCCCACAGAGACGGCUCUGCUGGACGGAUGGAGAUGGAAGAGUUGGGGCUCACAGGCACACCCUCUCCCUAACUCUUCUCCCCCGGUUCAACCUGGAUCCAGGGAUCCACACUCUGCUCCGAGAGGCCAGCACGCAGCCACUGGAAAAUGAGCCAGUGGGAGAGGGCAGCUCCAUGUUUAUUGAUCAGCAGACUAUGUCUUUUUGUUUGAAACUUCUAAAUAAGAUUACAAAAAGAAAAAAAAUAGAAGCAUUGCGUAUUAACUGCAUUGGUUAACCAACAUUGGAACCCAAUACUCUUGUAUUAGGCCCGCAUUUACCUGAGUAAACUCAGUGGUUUUCUGUCCUAAGCAUGCUUGCCUGCUACAUCCCAUGGAGAAAAUAAACAGUGAAACACUUUCCUCAUCUUCAAGGCAAUUGUCUCAGGCAUCCUCCAGGCAUCAUGAAGGAGGGUGAGCGAGGGUGCGAGGUGGAAAGGUCCAGGCCGCGGCUGUGACUCCCGCGGGUGAACCACAGCUCCACAGCCCCAAAUCCAAAGAUGCUCUUGCUGCAGCACGACAAGUGUUCAAAAGAGAACCAGGCCCAGCCCGGAGAAAGGAAAGCCAAAAGCCAACUGAAUGAAUGACCCUCCCCCAGAAGAGCAACCCUGCCCCCAGGCCAUCCAAGUGCGAACAUUACCAGGUGCCAGCAGGGAAAGGACUCCGCUGCCUGACGCCUCUCCCACCUGAGAGCGCAGAGGUAGGGAGAUCACAGUGCCUGAGAGGUUUUCCUCCACGGAGAAAUCAGAGACCUCAACCUGCUGCCCUCUAAAGCAGCUUUCUGUAUCCAGACAAAACUUACAUAUGUACACGUUGUUUUAAAACGACAUACUCAUGUGACACACAUGUAUAUAAAUUCAUGUUUAUAUAUGACAAUUGAGGAGAGUUAAAGAACAAGAUAAUUCUGGAUGGAAAAAUCAGUUUGCCUGGGCAUCUGUAAACCUUUGGGCAAGUGAAUUCCCUCUUCUCUCUCAGUUCACCCUUUGGUGACCUCCACCGUGGCUGCAGACUUCAGGUGGUCCUCACGCAUUCACAGAACUGUCUGCUUAGGUUACAGCACUUUGGGAGGCCGAGGUGGGUAGAUCACGAGGUCAGGAGAUCGAGACCAUAUUGACCAACAUGGUAAAACCCCAUCUCUACUAAAAUACAAAAAUUAGCCGGGCGUGGUGGCGGGUGCCUGUAGUCCCAGCUACUUGGGAGGCUGAGGCAGGGGAAUCACUUGAACCUGGGAGGCGGAGGUUGCAGUGAACUGAGAUUGCGCCACUGCACUCCAGCCUGGG